UGAAAGCCCCGGGCUUAACCCGGGAAAGCCUCCAAUACUGCGAGACUUGAGGGCAGCAGAGGGAGGUGGAAUUCCCGGUGUAGCGGUGAAAUGCGUAGAGAUCCGGAGGAACGCCAGUGGGGAAGCCGGCCACCUGGGCUCGGCCUGACGCUGCGGCGCGACAGCGUGGGGAGCAAACCGGAUUAGAUACCCGGGUAGUCCACGCCGUAAACGAUGCCAGCUCGGCGUGUGGCGCAGGUCUGCGCUGCGUGCCUUAGCUCACGCGAUAAGCUGGCCGCCUGGGGACUACGAGCGCAAGCUUAAAACUCAAGGGAAUUGACGGGGGCCCGCACAAGCAGCGGAGCGUGUGGUUUAAUUCGACGCAACACGAAGAACCUUACCUGGGCUUGACAUGACGCUGCACGCCGUCGAAAGACGGCCGCCUGCGAGGGUGCGUCACCGGUGCUGCAUGGCUGUCGUCAGCUCGUGUCGUGAGAUGUUGGGUUCAGUCCCGCAACGAGCGCAACCCGCGUCGGUAGUUACCCGUGUCUACCGAGACUGCCGCCUGACGGCGGAGGAAGGCGCGGAUGACGUCAAGUCAGCAUGGCCCUUAUGUCCAGGGCUACACACGUGAUACAAUGGACGGUACAAUGGGCGAAGCCGCGAGGCGGAGGUAAUCCCAAAAGCCGUCCUCAGUUCGGAUUGGAGUCUGCAACUCGACUCCAUGAAGGUGGAAUCGCUAGUA
rnacentral:rRNA from 1 species